CCUGUUGCGGGAGGCGCGGCGAACGGCUCAGGAACACGCAGCCAACCGGCCCUGGAGACAUGGACAACCCCGGGAAACUGGGAUUAAUCCGUGAUACGCCAUUUCAUCUGGAAGGAGAGAUGGCCCAAAGGGGUGCGCGAGCUUCUUUCGUGCAUUUGCUCCUGGAGGGGACUGCGUCCCAUCACGCUGUUGGCGGGGUAAUGGCCCACCAAACCUGUAACCGGAACGGGCCUUGAGAGAGGUGGCCCGGAGAUGGACACUGAGAGAAGGGUCCAGGUCCUACGGGGCGCAGCAGGCGCGAAACCUUCACAAUGCGCGAAAGCGUGACGAGGUUAGUCCGAGUGGCUUCCGCUGAGGAGGUCUUUUGCUGGCUCUAAAAAGGCUGGAGAAUAAGGGGAGGGCAAGCCUGGUGUCAGCCGCCGCGGUAAUACCAGCUCCUCGAGUGGUCGGGGCGAUUAUUGGGCCUAAAGCAUCCGUACCCGGUUCAGUAGGUUUUCUGCAAAAUCCGCUCGCUUAACGAUUGGCCCGCAGGAGAUACCGCUGGACUAGGAGGCGGGAGAGGUGGACGGUACUCCACGGGUAGGGGUAAAAUCCUUUGAUCCGUGGAAGACCUCCAGUGGCGAAGGCGGUCCACCAGAUCGCGCUCGGCGGUGAGGGAUGAAAGCUGGGGGAGCGAACCGGAUUAGAUACCCGGGUAGUCCCAGCGGUAAACGAUGCGAGCUAGAUGAUCCAAUCGCAAAUCGCGAUUGGAGUGUCGCAGGGAAGCUGUUAAGCUCGAAAACGUGGCUUUUCGGUCGCNUGGCUGNNUCUUCCCCCCUGAAGGGGGGGGNGCACAGGGGAAUUCUCCAGCACUGGGGCGGCUUUAUUGGGGUCGGGUGGUCACAGUU
rnacentral:rRNA from 1 species